UGGUGAAUCUACUAAGGUUCAGACUUGGUUGGAAUGCAUGGAGUCCAUCUCUAACUUCAUUGCUUCCAACUAUUGCUUGGAAUCGAUGUCUAACAUCGCCUUGUUGUAGGUAUUGGGAUCCUUACCUUGAUCUCUAUCUCUCAUGAGGAACACUUCCUCUACAUCCUCUGUAAGCAUACCUAAGUACCUUUCAGGCGGACGGAAGAUCCUACUAAAUUUACGAGGUGGAGGAGGUACUACGUGUAUUGGCUUAAUAUGAAUAUGUUCUAUAGGCACAAUGGCUCGUUGUUCUUUAGAGACUUUCUCUUCGAGCUCAAUUUUCCUCCCACUGUCUCUGUCAAGGAUAAACUAUUUUCCAUUAAGAUAGCAUGUAGGCUCACAAACACUUUGUGAUCCUUUGGGACGAAAAGUCGUAUCCUAAUGACUCUUUAGGAUAUCCUAUAAAACGAGCAUUAAUUGUCCUAUCCUCUAACUUGUCCACCUGUUGUCGCUUGAGUUGAGCUGGACAUCCCCAAAUCUUGAGAUAACCAAGACUCGGCUUCUUACCAUGUCAUAUCUCAUAUGGUGUGGUAGGAACGGACUUUAGCGGGAACUCUAUUCAAUAAGUAAAUUG
rnacentral:lncRNA from 1 species